rnacentral:lncRNA from 1 species
UAAGAAUAGUAGGAACUGGCCGUGUGCAGUGGCUCAUGCCUGUAAUCCCAGCACUUUGGAGGCCGAGGCGGGCAGAUCACCUGAGGUCAGGAGUUUGGGACCAGCCUGGCCAACAUGGUGAAACCCCGUCUCUACUAAAAAUACAAAAGUUAGCUGGCCGUGGUGGCAGGCGCCUGUAAUCCUAGCUACUCGGGAGGCUGAGGCAGGAGAAUCACUUGAACUUGGGAGGCAGAGGUUGCAGUGGGCUAAGAUUGCGCCACUGCACUCUGGCCUGGGCCACAGAGUCAGACUCCAUCUCAAAAAACAAAAAAGAGUAGUAAGAACUAUGUUUUCAUCCCCCUAAUCUGGGUUUACAUUAAAACAGUUUCUGAAUUUCUUUUAUUAUGGACUAUUACCAUUAGCAUGGCAUAGAUUUUUAUCAAACAAUGCCUGAACAUUCUGGAGUUGAAUUCUGGGGCUCU